rnacentral:rRNA from 1 species
AUUGAACGCUGGCGGCAGGCCUAACACAUGCAAGUCGAGCGGCAGCGGGAAAGUAGCUUGCUACUUUUGCCGGCGAGCGGCGGACGGGUGAGUAAUGCCUGGGAAAUUGCCCAGUCGAGGGGGAUAACAGUUGGAAACGACUGCUAAUACCGCAUACGCCCUACGGGGGAAAGCAGGGGACCUUCGGGCCUUGCGCGAUUGGAUAUGCCCAGGUGGGAUUAGCUAGUUGGUGAGGUAAUGGCUCACCAAGGCGACGAUCCCUAGCUGGUCUGAGAGGAUGAUCAGGCACACUGGAACUGAGACACGGUCCAGACUCCUACGGGAGGCAGCAGUGGGGAAUAUUGCACAAUGGGGGAAACCCUGAUGCAGCCAUGCCGCGUGUGUGAAGAAGGCCUUCGGGUUGUAAGGCACUUUCAGCGAGGAGGAAAGGUUGAUGCCUAAUACGUAUCAACUGUGACGUUACUCGCAGAAGAAGCACCGGCUAACUCCGUGCCAGCCGCCGCUGUAA